CCAGCCCUUCGCACACCCGAUCCACCCCUUCGCCCCCGUCGCAGCCGAUCCAUACCUGUGCCACGGCCGAUCCAUCCCCGUGCCGCGGCCGAUCCUAACCUUCGUCGUCGCCCUCGCACAUCAAAGCCGCCGCCCGUCCAUCGUACGAUCUGCUUCAGGAUCGCUGCAGGAGACGGCGCCGGGAUCCCGUUUAGCAGACGCCGGCGAUCUUGUAUAUCACCAUGCGAUCGACUUCCUCCCUCAGCUCCUUUUCUCUACACUCUGUCAGGCUGCAACAGCCUAGGUUUCUAUUUUCUUUCUGGGCUCCACUGGCAGUAGUAGGAUGCUCAUUGGCAACCCAAGGUGUGUAUGCCCCUACUUCCCCAAGAUGUGUGCUGCUGUGAAGCAUGUAGCACCACUUCUCCUGACUGCUAUAAUCAGUGGAAGAUCUCAUGACAUGAUAGGCGUCAUGGUCUCAUGGAAUGGACAUCAUGGGGCUUAUUAGGAACUCUGAGUUCAGUGGGCACCAUGCCGAAAGAGGUCACUCUCUUCCAAUACACAAUCGCUGAGGUAUGUAUCAAUGUCUAAAGGUUAAAAAAGACCCAGGUUACACCAUAUGGUUUAGGUUGCUCACCUUGGUGGCUGACUAGGUGUUCAAAAAUCUUAGUGAGAGUAUAAAGGACAUUGUUGAUGGUGCAAUAAUGGAACACAACAAGUUGUGUGUGUGUGUGUGUGUGUGUGUCGCACGACCUGGGAGUCUACAUCUAAGAGUUCCUUUCAGUUUUCUAUCAGAAACAUUUCUUUAUAGAAGUUCUGUUGGACACUUAUCUUCUCUUUACUUAUCGUUUCGUGGGACUACGAAAAUGUUCAUCUGUGUGUAACUACAGGGUUCUCGAAGUCCGCCCUCUCAUUGACAGGGUGAAAGUUGUGGAAUUUUUGCUUUAACUGCCUGGAGUAAGAUGACAGGACAUACAAAGAUGCAUUCAAGUUGAAGCUUCAGAGUUACAAGGCAGGCACAGUUAACAGGCAUAAGAAACUAUAGAAGAUUUAUCAAACAAGAUAUGGGCUUGAUUAUGCACUGAAUCAUUAUGGAGGAUCUCAGGAAGCAUUACAAUGGGAUAUAUUGUUCAGGAGUAGAGAUACUUUGAGCCCACUGUCACCAAGAUUCACCCCGUCUGCCCAAGUCCACCUUUCGCCACGAAGGGCCACUCCUCUACGGCAGCAGGGACGACCAGGACGCGGUGACGCCCAUGGACUGACACUUGUCACACUCCACAAAGGAUCCUACCUACAGAGCGGUGGCGCGGGUGGGCACCGGCAAUGAAGAGGGCAUGCUGCGUAUCAACGCUCUGCUUUUGACUACAUGUUCAACCUCGGCUGACAGUGUCAUACACCGCGUCUUCAACCUCCGUCGUGACCCUUCCUCUCGGACGACAAGCUUGCCACCUUCUCGCUGCUAGACAAAAGUUCACCAGAAAAAAAUGAUCCCAUCACCGGGAUCAACACCGCAGGGUCAUUGACUUGGUUGAUCUCUUCGAUGUAACUGAAAUUGGUGGGUCCAUGUGGUUGGAGAGCACGUUUCUCCGGGAUCUUGAUGCUAUCGUGCUCAUUGUACACGCUCGCGUGACGGUGCUUGACUCCUUGGAGCAGGCCGGCAACCACCGCCUGUUGGACCAAAAACUUUGUACGAAGCUGGUGCACAUAGGUUCUGGGUUGGUAUAUUUCCUUAUGUAGCCUUUGUUCAGAGCUACUCAAAGGUUCAAAAUAAUACGUCGGCACUUUAAGUCUCCCAUUUCGAAUGCCAUGAUUUGCAAUUUGUGAUUGGGGAUGCGGUAGUAAGCUCUUUCUCGUGC